rnacentral:rRNA from 1 species
UACGGAGGAUCCAAGCGUUAUCCGGAUUUAUUGGGUUUAAAGGGUGCGUAGGCGGAUUAGUAAGUCAGUGGUGAAAGCCUGCAGCUUAACUGUAGAACUGCCAUUGAUACUGCUAGUCUUGAGUAUAGUUGAGGAGGGCGGAAUAUGACAUGUAGCGGUGAAAUGCUUAGAUAUGUCAUAGAACACCGAUUGCGAAGGCAGCUCUCUAAGCUAUUACUGACGCUGAGGCACGAAAGCGUGGGUAGCAAACAGG